AUUUAUUAUCUUUACACUUAUUUUACCUUAAUCGCUCAUAUUUUUUUAUAUUUUUUUCGCGGCUAUGCAGCAAAAAGCGCCCGUGAGAUUGAGGGUUAUGGUAUCAAUUCGUAAAUCAAUUGAAAAUCAUGAUUUAUUCGUUAAUGAAAGAAAGUUUACGAACAAUUUAAAAAAAAAACGUUUUCUUACAAAAGUAUUUGGACUUUAUAGAGUAAUUGUAAGAUACAUGUAUUGUAUUUUGUACAUAUUUGGUAUUUCAAAUACUCUGUAUUUUGUAAAUCUCUGAAUGUAAAGGCAUUGAUCGUACCAAGAUCUUACCACAGAACACAUUUACAUUGUGAGAAUGCAAUGUUUUUGCGUGCAAGGACUUGGCACCGACCAUCAACAGAAGGCGUGACUCAAAAACAUUAAAACCAAUAACAAACCAGAUAUCUAAGAAUCAAUCUUAUAAACAUGUGAGAGUUUUAUGAUUAACAGCAAAUGUGAAAAAGCCUCGUGAAACGCUGAUAGCUGAUAAAUUGAAAUAGUGGGGUCAUUUCAUUUUCUCGAUGUUAAUAAACUGCGACUGCAUGUCCCCUGCCCGGUUCCUUAUCGCACUCUCAGUACUGUUGUUUGUGUCCGCUGAUAACACCGCCCGGGUGUCAUAUCACAUACUGUUAUUGCGCACCAAAAGUUCUUGCCGUCAACUCACAUAUGUCCCCACGCGAGGGACUCUGAAUUAAAUACUACCGCAAUUUAAGGGUGACUAGACUUCAGGUAUGUCUUUAAAUUUCUUUGCCGAUCUGUAAAAACUGCAUCAUGUUUACCUUCACCGUAUGAAUGACUGAUAAAUGUUUACAUUAAAUUCGAAAAACAUAUUUAUAAUUGACGGAAUCGAAUCUGGAUGUAUUAAUUACGAUUCGCUCUUACCAGGCGCUCGCACAACUGUCCCAUCGUUCUUUUAUAUUAAUGGCAUUCCGCAGAGGACAGCAAAUUAAUAUAAAGGCCAAUAAAUUAAAGCCCCAUCACACAUGUGGUUACUUUAUUCUACUAUGUAAUACCAUUAAAUAAAUAAAGUAACUAGCUAACGUUCGAAAUGUAUAGCAGGAUCUCCAAAGGGUACAAGUAAAAUGUCUGUUUAGUAAAGAAAUAAGAAACACUGUUAUUCUAGAGAUUGUUCGCAUUCGUAAAUCAAUUAUCAUUCAUCGGAGCUCGGAGUGGAGGUUACGUUGCGCUCUGUAGUUUGUGUCAGGAGACCAUCAUCUCUUGCCAUCAGCGGAAAGUCUUGUUAUUGCAAAGUGAAUAAUAAGAUUGUAGCACAAUCAAAUUGUUAUUGAUUUUUAGAUAUUACGCUGAGUAGCAACUUUUAUUCAAUUUAAUAUUUUUAAAGGGCAUUUAUGUUUGAAUUGUUAUUAUUGCGACAUAAAAUUUCAAUAUGUCCACAAAAUAAGCCAUUUGUGGUGUCUUGCGUUACGACCAGCGCUUGCGCAUGUUCUCAUGUUGCGGUGCGAGCGAGACCAUCUCUUGCCAUCUCCGUCGCACAUCCGCGUUGCAAACCACAACUCAACCAGUCGAAUGCUAAAUUGCUAGUCGCUUUUGCUUCGCUGGUAGUUGCUAAAUAGUGUAUGACAUUUGUGGUUGCGUCAAGUUUCGUGGCAAAUUCGUGUUUAGGGAACUGUGUUUGUGAUGUUUGUUUGAAAGAGGAUAAUAUUAUUGUUGCGGCGUACUGACUGUGGAGUGUUUGGACGAGCUGUCGCCCGCAAACUUCGUUACUGCGCAGAUUCCGAAUCUCAUAUUGUGUUCGAGUAGUAAGUAUAUUUGGCCGCAUGCGUCUUGUAUUAAGAUGUAUUCUGAGCACGGAGCAUCUCAAUAUUGAGUACAUAUCAAAGAGAUGGUGAAUGUUUGACGUCAGCGGCCGCCUAUAGCUGACCGCUGUUCUCUUCAGAGCAGUGGGACAGCAUCCCUGUGUAAACAAUGUCGCGACUUGAGUCCUGGCAAUGCUGCUAUUAGCACUCUCAAUUAGUUCUAUCGCCGUACAAAUGCAGCUCCUAAAACUAUAAAAAUACAACUGA